AGGUAGCAAUACCUAGCGGCGGACGGGUGAGUAACGCGUGGGAACGUACCUUUUGCUACGGAAUAGCCCUGGGAAACUGGGAGUAAUACCGUAUACGCCCUGAGGGGGAAAGAUUUAUCGGCAAAAGAUCGGCCCGCGUUGGAUUAGGUAGUUGGUGGGGUAAUGGCCUACCAAGCCGACGAUCCAUAGCUGGUUUGAGAGGAUGAUCAGCCACACUGGGACUGAGACACGGCCCAGACUCCUACGGGAGGCAGCAGUGGGGAAUCUUAGACAAUGGGGGCAACCCUGAUCUAGCCAUGCCGCGUGAGUGAUGAAGGCCUUAGGGUUGUAAAGCUCUUUCAGUGGGGAAGAUAAUGACGGUACCCACAGAAGAAGCCCCGGCUAACUCCGUG
rnacentral:rRNA from 1 species